rnacentral:rRNA from 1 species
CCUACGGGAGACAGCAGUGGGGAAUAUUGGACAAUGGGGGAAACCCUGAUCCAGCGACGCCGCGUGAGUGAAGAAGUAUUUCGGUACGUAACGCUCUCUCAGCAGGAAAGAAAAUGACGGUACCUGACUAAGAAGCCCCGGCUAACUACGUGCCAGCAGCCGCGGUCAUACGUAGGGGGCAAGCGUUAUCCGGAUUUACUGGGUGUAAGGGGAGCGUAGACGGCAGCGCAAGUCUGGAGUGAAAUGCCGGGGCCCAACCCCGGAACUGCUCUGGAAACUGUGAAGCUGGAGUGCAGGAGAGGUAAGCGGAAGUCCUGGGGGAGCGGUGAAAUGCGUAGAGAUCAGGAGGAACACCGGCGGCGAAGGCGGCUUACUGGACUGUAACUGACGUUGAGGCUCGAAGGCGUGGGGAGCAAACAGGAUUAGAUACCCUAGUAGUC